UACGGGGGGGGCAAGCGUUGUUCGGAAUUACUGGGCGUAAAGGGCUCGUAGGUGGCCAACUAAGUCAGACGUGAAAUCCCUCAGCUUAACUGGGGAACUGCGUCUGAUACUGGAUGGCUUGAGUUUGGGAGAGGGAUGCGGAAUUCCAGGUGUAGCGGUGAAAUGCGUAGAUAUCUGGAGGAACACCAGCGGCGAAGGCGGCGAUCUGGGGGGAUACUGACGCUGAGGUGCGAAAGCGUGGGGAGUAAACAGG
rnacentral:rRNA from 1 species